rnacentral:lncRNA from 1 species
AUCGACGACUACGAGGUGGUCAUUGGUAUGUCCUUGCUUACCCAGCUACAAGCCAUGGUGAAAGCGGAUUCAUAUGUGGUGGUAGUCCUGAAUUCAAGCAGGCCUUGCGUGGUUCUAGGAAAGCGAGUUAGAGGGACUCCGCAGCGAGUCCUAUCAGCGAUGCAACUUGCUAAGGGGCUGAGAAUGGGACUUCCAACAUACAUUACAUCCCUUC